AUUGAACGCUGGCGGCAGGCUUAACACAUGCAAGUCGAGCGGGGUGAUGGUGCUUGCACUAUCACUUAGCGGCGGACGGGUGAGUAAUGCUUAGGAAUCUGCCUAUUAGUGGGGGACAACAUCUCGAAAGGGAUGCUAAUACCGCAUACGUCCUACGGGAGAAAGCAGGGGAUCACUUGUGACCUUGCGCUAAUAGAUGAGCCUAAGUCGGAUUAGCCAGUUGGUGGGGUAAAGGCCUACCAAGGCGACGAUCUGUAGCGGGUCUGAGAGGAUGAACCGCCAAACUGGGACGGAGACACGGCCCAGACUCCUACGGGAGGCAGCAGUGGGGAAUAUUGGACAAUGGGGGGAACCCUGAUCCAGCCAUGCCGCGUGUGUGAAGAAGGCCUUAUGGUUGUAAAGCACUUUAAGCGAGGAGGAGGCUCUUUUGGUUAAUACCCAAGAUGAGUGGACGUUACUCGCAGAAUAAGCACCGGCUAACUCUGUGCCAGCCGCCGCCGUAA
rnacentral:rRNA from 1 species